AUACGGAGGAUGCGAGCGUUAUCCGGAUUUAUUGGGUUUAAAGGGUGCGUAGGUGGUAGAUUAAGUCAGCGGUGAAAGUUUGUCGCUCAACGAUAAAAUUGCAGUUGAUACUGGUUUCCUUGAGUACGGUAUAGGUGGGCGGAAUUCGUGGUGUAGCGGUGAAAUGCUUAGACAUCACGAAGAACUCCGAUCGCGAAGGUAGCUCACCGGGCCGGAACUGACACUGAUGCUCGAAAGUGCGGGUAUCAAACAGGAUUAGAUACCCUGGUAGUCCGCACAGUAAACGAUGAAUACUCGCUGUUUGCGAUACACUGUAAGCGGCCAAGCGAAAGCGUUAAGUAUUCCACCUGGGGAGUACGCCGGCAACGGUGAAACUUAAAGGAAUUGACGGGG
rnacentral:rRNA from 1 species